rnacentral:hammerhead_ribozyme from 1 species
AUCCAGCUGACGAGUCCAAAAUAGAACGAAGUGCGCGUUCCGGAU